GGCGCGGUCGCCGGGUCGGCCCUUGGCUGUACUCGACGCGCCGCGUCUUACCUUCUGGAGCGUGCGCGUGCCCUUUACUGGGUGCGCGUGGUGCGCCAGGACUUUUACUUUGAAAAAAUUAGAGUGUUUAAAGCAGGCUAUCGCUUGAAUACAUUAGCAUGGAAUAAUAGAAUAGGACUUUGGUUCUAUUUUGUUGGUUUCUAGGACCGAGGUA
rnacentral:rRNA from 1 species